GACGUAGGGCGCGAGCGUUGUCCGGAUUUAUUGGGCGUAAAGAGCUCGUAGGCGGCUUGUUGCGUCAGCUAGUGAAAACCCCGGCAGCUCAACUGUGGGCUUGCAGCUGAUACGGGCGAGGCUUGAGUUCGGUAGGGGAGACUGGAAUUCCUGGUGUAGCGGUGAAAUGCGCAGACGUAUCAAGGGAGGGAACACCGGUGGGCCGAAGGCGGGUCUCUGGGCCGAUAACUGACGCUGGAGGAGCGGAAAGCGUGGGGAGCGAACAG
rnacentral:rRNA from 1 species